GUAACUAAACGAUCUAAAUAAAAUCAACCAGAUUUGCGAAGGAAAUCCCGUUUUACUUGGAUGUUUGCACCUGUCAUGGUACCAUAUUAUAGUUUAUGGAAGCCACAAGCACACAAAACCUGAAUUGAUACAGAAUAUAGAAAGGGAGGCUAAAAUGUGACUGUACAGAAAAAAAAUGUAUUGACUACUGCGAAAUUAUUCUACCAGAAAAGGAGGUGUAAUCGUGAAGAAAGUAUGCCAGUGUUGAGCUCAUCAUCUAAAAUCUUUUUUGAUUCUGUGCACAUGUAUGUAAAAGGCAGUCUUUCAAAAUGCAGCAUUAAAUAAAGGUGAUACAUAAAUAAAACUCGCCCUGGUUGCUGCACGAUCAUUAUGACCUUUCACACUCUUUAUUAUAGAAGGCUGUAGCUGCUGAAUUAUAAAGGCAAAAUAUGAACAUGCGGAGUGGCUGUGAAGGUACUCUAGAGAGCGAAUGGAUAUACAGGGAAAUUCCAGUUUAAUGUUACAAUGGACUCCUUCAAGCAGUAGUUUCACGGUACACGGAUCCAGUUAUUGAAUGCUCAGCAUCUUUCCUAGAGCUAUUUCACGUUGCCUGCUCCUGGAAAGGGAAGACAACAUGCAGCUGAAGGUUUAAUGAGCAGGGCACUUGCAAUCACCAAAGCUGCAGACAUAAAUAAGGUCCGGAAUCCAGCUCUGCAAAAGCGACAACUUGCUUUUGAGGACUAUAAUCCCAUUACUUACGUAACACUUUCGUGCAGGGAUAAAGCUGUCUAGUCUCUUAAUACAUUUCUUUAGCUGUAGUGCAUUUAUCCUAGCCCCAGGCUACGAUUUUAUACCAGCAAAGUCCGUUUUGCACAGGCAGUGUCCCAGAAGCAGUCUCAUGCAGUAAUGGCUAUGCGAUGACCUGCCCUCCUUUCCUCCGUCUGAGGAAGGCACUGAUGGUCUUCUUGUUUGAUGAGGAUGUGGGGGAUGAGGCAUGGUGGAGAGGGGCGGGGGUACCUGCCAACAACAGUCCGUCCGUCAGUAGUCCAGUCCACACACCAGUGUGAGAGGAGCUUCUGCUCAAUGUGCCACAGCUGCACAGACACAGCAGACAGAUCAGCUCGGAAGGACUAAAGCAGUAGAAACACUCGUGGAUUUAGCUUCGUGUGAUGCCCAUAAAGGGGGUUUGCCUCCGUUUUGCUGACUGGACUACCCCUACUAAUAACGAUUCUUUUUCACAAGACAGCGGCACUCAACUCAGAGGAUAUUCUGCAUUAUCUCUGAAUAGACGACUCAUGUACUGGUUCUACCUAAACCUCGGAUCAGGACAGGGAAUAUGGUUUGCCUUUUUGUGGAGAUGUACUAGGACGAUAUACGGGACAAAUUCCUAUUAGCUCUUGUCUCAAAGCUGCUAACAUUUAUCUGAAAUCCAUGCACACACAACCUGAGCUGGAGUGGUUUGACAAGAAAAGUGGACUACACUGCGUGCCAUAAUGGAUUAUAAUUGUCAUAUGUCUCCUUAAUUACCAAUGACUGAUACGAAUGGAUGUUCUCUAAGUAUAUUGCCUGUAUAUGGAGUGUUGGUGCUACAUCACUAUCAUAUUCUACUAACAGAGACCAGCUAGCAGCACCUGCUACCUAAGGUUUAUGAAACUGACAGUGUUUUCAGCAAGCAGUCAGGAUGUUUAUUUGGCAAUGGAAUAUAAAGAAGCAAGAGUUCCAGAAAAGGUACAGGAACAUCAUUCUGAAUUAAUCUACAGAGCCUGUUUGGAAGUUUUCAAUAAAACAGAAGUCGUCAUACAUUCUUGGAGAAGUCCUAGAUGGCAUGCCUUGCAGGUUAUCAACAAGGACUGCACUGAACUGGGAACUCUUCUAUAAGGAAGAUUAUUAACAGCUUUGUCUUUUGCCAUUUCUACAAUUCUGGCAAACUAUUUCAAACUGGAUGGUGCUCCUUGCCGAAAAAUUACUAUAAUCAAAUUUUCUACAAAUUUAAAUAUUUGCCAAUGUUUAAACAGAAUUACUUGUUGCUUUGGUGGAUUUUAUUUAAAGAGGGUCUUUUGGCACCACUGCAUUUACAACAACAGAGAAUGCGAUGGCCAGAGGCUACUGAGGAUGGGACAGCUACCGAAGGCAGUGAAACAGCACCUGUCCGUCGUGUCAGGCGUGGAUGGGUGUGGAACCAGUUCUUUGUGCUUGAGGAGUACAUGGGAUCUGACCCACAGUAUGUGGGAAAGGUAAUCAUCUUUGUUUCUCUGAAUUAGUAUGACAAAACAACUACUACCUAAUAAC